ensembl:rRNA 5S_rRNA 5S ribosomal RNA
GCUUACGACCACACCGGCCUGAGUACGCCUGAUCUCGUCUGAUCUCGGAAGCUAAGCAGGGUCGGGCCUGGUUAGUACUUGGAUGGGAGACUUCCUGGGAAUACCAGGUGCUGUAGCUU